UGUCCCUUCUCUCUCCAGCUAGAUGGCCCCCCGGCCGUGGCUGUGGGCCAGUGCCCGCUGGUGGGGCCAGGCCCCAUGCACCGCCGCCACCUGCUGCUCCCUGCCAGGUCCCUAGGCCUGGCCUAUCGGAGGCGCUUUCCCUGCUCCUGUUCGCCGUUGUUCUGUCUCGUGCCGCCGCCCUGGGCUGCAUUGGGUUGGUGGCCCACGCCGGCCAACUCACCGCAGUC
rnacentral:lncRNA from 1 species